rnacentral:rRNA from 1 species
GACGAACGCUGGCGGCGUGCUUAACACAUGCAAGUCGAACGGAAAGGCCCUGCUUUUGUGGGGUGCUCGAGUGGCGAACGGGUGAGUAACACGUGAGUAACCUGCCCUUGACUUUGGGAUAACUUCAGGAAACUGGGGCUAAUACCGGAUAGGAGCUCCUGCUGCAUGGUGGGGGUUGGAAAGUUUCGGCGGUUGGGGAUGGACUCGCGGCUUAUCAGCUUGUUGGUGGGGUAGUGGCUUACCAAGGCUUUGACGGGUAGCCGGCCUGAGAGGGUGACCGGCCACAUUGGGACUGAGAUACGGCCCAGACUCCUACGGGAGGCAGCAGUGGGGAAUAUUGCACAAUGGGCGGAAGCCUGAUGCAGCAACGCCGCGUGCGGUAUGACGGCCUUCGGGUUGUAAUCCGCUUUCGCCUGUGACGAAGCGUGAGUGACGGUAAUGGGUAAAGAAGCACCGGCUAACUACGUG